AGUGAACGCUGGCGGCAGGCCUAACACAUGCAAGUCGAACGGCAGCACAGUAAGAGCUUGCUCUUACGGGUGGCGAGUGGCGGACGGUUGAGGAAUACAUCGGAAUCUACUUUUUCGUGGGGGAUAACGGAGGGAAACUUACGCUAAUACCGCAUACGAGCUACUGGUGAAAGCAGGGGAUCUUCGGACCUUGCGCGAUUGAAUGAGCCGAUGUCGGAUUAGCUAGUUGGCGGGGUAAAGGCCCACCAAGGCGACGAUCCGUAGCUGGUCUGAGAGGAUGAUCAGCCACACUGGAACUGAGACACGGUCCAGACUCCUACGGGAGGCAGCAGUGGGGAAUAUUGGACAAUGGGCGCAAGCCUGAUCCAGCCAUACCGCGUGGGUGAAGAAGGCCUUCGGGUUGUAAAGCCCUUUUGUUGGGAAAGAAAAGCAGCAGGUUAAUACCCCGCUGUUCUGACGGUACCCAAAGAAUAAGCACCGGCUAACUUCGUG
rnacentral:rRNA from 1 species